UCCACAGUUAGACGAGUCUGUCGGCUACCAGUCUCAUCCUCUCCAAACGCAGAGGCAACCAUUUCUCUUUUCUUUUGCUGAAGAGCCAAAAUACGAUCCUCAACUGUAUCUUUUACAGUCAACCGCAAAACUGUAACAGGACGGGUCUGUCCAAUCCGAUGUGCCCUGUCAAUUGCUUGAUCCUCAGUCGUAGGGUUCCACCAAAGAUCCAAG
rnacentral:misc_RNA from 1 species